rnacentral:rRNA from 1 species
GACGAACGCUGGCGGCGUGCUUAACACAUGCAAGUCGAACGAUGAAGCUGGAGCUUGCUCCGGUGGAUUAGUGGCGAACGGGUGAGUAACACGUGAGAAAUCUGCCCUUGACUCUGGGAUAACUGCGGGAAACUGUAGCUAAUACCGGAUAUUUUCCUUGGUGGGCAUCGACUGGUGAAGAAAGAAUUUCGGUCAAGGAUGAUCUCGCGGCCUAUUAGCUAGUUGGUGAGGUAAUGGCGGACCAAGGCGACGACGGGUAGCCGGCCUGAGAGGGUGACCGGCCACACUGGGACUGAGACACGGCCCAGCCUCCUACGGGAGGGAGCAGUGGGGAAUAUUGCACAAUGGGCGCAAGCCUGAUGCAGCAACGCCGCGUGAGGGAUGAAGGCCUUCGGGUUGUAAACCUCUUUUAGCAGGGAAGAAGCGAAAGUGACGGUACCUGCAGAAAAAGCACCGGCUAACUACGUGCCAGCAGCAGCCGCCG